ACGGGAGGCAGCAGUGGGGAAUAUUGGGCAAUGGGCGCAAGCCCGACCCAGCAACGCCGCGUGAGGGAAGAAGGUUUUCGGAUUGUAAACCUCUGUCCUUGGUGACGAAGGAAGUGACGGUAGCCAAGGAGGAAGCCCCGGCUAACUACGUGCCAGCAGCCGCGGUAAUACGUAGGGGGCGAGCGUUGUCCGGAAUGACUGGGCGUAAAGGGCGUGUAGGCGGCAUUGUAAGUCCGGAGUGAAAGUCCCGCUUUCAAGGUGGGAAUUGCUUUGGAGACUGCAGAGCUUGAGUACGGAGAGGUAAGUGGAAUUCCCAGUGUAGCGGUGAAAUGCGUAGAGAUUGGGAGGAACACCAGUGGAGAAGGCGACUUACUGGACUGUAACUGACGCUGAGGCGCGAAAGUGUGGGGAGCAAACAGGAUUAGAUACCCUGGUA
rnacentral:rRNA from 1 species